GACGAGCCACACGAACGUUAUUCGGAAUUACUGGGCUUAAAGGGUGCGUAGGCGGCGCGGAAAGUUGGGUGUGAAAUCCCACGGCUCAACCGUGGAACUGCUUGGUAUACUGGUUGUCUUGAGCCACUUAGGGGCAGUCGGAACAGACGGUGGAGCGGUGAAAUGCGUAGAUAUCGUCUGGAACGCCAAAGGUGAAAACAGACUGCUGGGAGUGUGCUGACGCUGAGACACGAAAGCCAGGGGAGCAAACGGG
rnacentral:rRNA from 1 species